rnacentral:lncRNA from 1 species
UGAGAAUUGUUUAUGUAUUUUGGCUUAAGAUAAAAGCCCUUCAUUUUGUAUUAAGCCUAGAUAAUGACUAUUAUUCAUUUUGGCAAAUGUAUAUGAUGUUCCUUCUAUGGAUGAAUUGAUGUCUUUUGGGAUGGAAUUAGCAAAUUGAAAUGAUCUUGUGUAGGUUGUGAAAAUUAGGUAACAAAAUGGCUUGGAAGAUAGCCUAGUUUGUCCACACGGGCAAGACACACGGGCGUGUGUUUAGACCAUGUGUGACAUACGGCUCACCCCCAAGGGUGUGUGCUAUGGCCGUGUGUCCCCCUGCACUUAAACUUUUAAAUCAGUAUUGUCCACGGUUAGGCCACACGGGCGUGUGCCAUAGCCGUGUCUAUAAGUCAGUAUUGACCACGGGUAGGCCACACGGGCGUGUGUCAUGGUCGUGCCCUAAAG